rnacentral:sRNA from 1 species
AGAUACUAAAAAAAAAUUUCUGAUAAAAAACCAUAUUUAUUAUCGACUCAUGAUUCAUAAUAUCAAUCUCAUAUCAUUUUUCGAUUUAAAACCAUGAUGGCUUGAAUCCGAUUCAUACGUUAAUCGGUUGAUGAUGGCUUGAGUUUCUUCUUUAUUAUUUCUAUGCCGCCGUGUGCUUCGUCAAUAAUUUAAUACACCCAUACGUUUGCCGUUCAAAUCAGUUUUUGAUAAAUCGUAUAUUAUUUAUUAUUAUUUUCAUCACGUCCUGAUUUUGAUAAAUUGUACACCACAUGUUUAAUCGUUAUAUAUCAUGGUCGUCAU